UGAAACUCUUCAUACCGCUCAUCGCACUUCAUGUAAUUGCAGGCCCUCCACUAAUUAUAGGCAAAAAUCAAAUCCAUUAAAGGAAAAUGUUUAUAUCGGGUCGAAGUUCAAGUGAUUUAAAGUGCUCCGAACGGGAGGGCUCUACUAAGAAGUACCCUGCAGUGACAAGCAUUCGAAUUUCCGUCUUCCUUUCUUGAAUAUGAAAUUUUCAUGAAAUAUUUAUGGCAUCCAAAUGUGUGUAAAUCUACCCUAAAGGGUAUAAAAUAUUUCGUAUCUACAAACUAAACUAAUUGCGAGGCCUAAUUGAGGAAUUAAAAAAAAAAGUGUUACUAAA